CUUCAUUAUAUAUAACCUUCCUUCCAAUUAUAUUUUUUCCAAAACCUAAUUAACAUUCCAAUUUUGCACUCAUCUCUCUCAAAUCGCUGCUGCUUUCUUUCUCUACACCCCCGACCUCACAAAUGGAUAAGAAUAAUGGAAGUGGAAGCCAACAGAAACCAAAUCAAAUUCAGGCAAGUUUAUCGUGCUUUAUUAUUAAGUUUUACAAUAUUUGAAUUAUUUAUAUAACUCACAGACAUGAAGUCUUGAC